UUGGAGGGCAAGUCUGGUGCCAGCAGCCGCGGUAAUUCCAGCUCCAAUAGCGUAUAUUAAAGUUGUUGCAGUUAAAAAGCUCGUAGUUGAAUUUCGGGGUUAGUAGGCUGGUCAUGCCUCUGGUAUGUACUGGUCUCACUGAUUCCUCCUUCCUGAUGAACCGUAAUGCCAUUAAUUUGGUGUUGUGGGGAAUUUGGACUGUUACUUUGAAAAAAUUAGAGUGUUUAAAGCAAGCUAACGCUUGAAUACAUUAGCAUGGAGUAAUGAAAUAGGACGUUCGAUCCUAUUUUGUUGGUUUCUAGGAUUGACGUAAUGAUUAAUAGGGAUAGUUGGGGGCAUUAGUAUUCAAUUGUCAGAGGUGAAAUUCUUGGAUUUAUUGAAGACUAACUACUGCGAAAGCAUUUGCCAAGGAUGUUUUCAUUAAUCAAGAACGAAAGUUAGGGGAUCGAAGACGAUCAGAUACCGUCGUAGUCUUAACCAUAAACUAUGCCGACUAGGGAUCGGAUGAUGUUAAUUUUUUAAUGACUCAUUCGGCGCCUUACGGGAAAC
rnacentral:rRNA from 1 species